rnacentral:rRNA from 1 species
GCUCAGGAUGAACGCUAGCUACAGGCUUAACACAUGCAAGUCGAGGGGCAGCAUGGAACUUAGCUUGCUAAGUUCUGAUGGCGACCGGCGCACGGGUGAGUAACACGUAUCCAACCUACCGUUUACUACGGGAUAGCCUUCUGAAAAGGAGAUUAAUACCGUAUGGCAUUCUAAGGUUUCAUGACAUUAGAAUUAAAGGUUUACCGGUAAUCGAUGGGGAUGCGUUCCAUUAGAUAGUAGGCGGGGUAACGGCCCACCUAGUCUACGAUGGAUAGGGGUUCUGAGAGGAAGGUCCCCCACAUUGGAACUGAGACACGGUCCAAACUCCUACGGGAGGCAGCAGUGAGGAAUAUUGGUCAAUGGACGAGAGUCUGAACCAGCCAAGU